CUGCUCAAUGAUUUUUUAAAUUGCUGUGGUAUUUUUGACUAUCGAAGGUAUUGAAUAAGGCUUUAAUUGAGUGCUAAGAGAAUGGUUUUACAAAGAUUGACUUUCUUUAAUUUUUUAAUAUAAGUUGAUUUAAAAGUGAAAAAGCUUUUAUAUAUUUUUGGACAAGAAGACCCUAUGAAUUUUUUUUAAAAUGUUAUUUAUAGCUUUUAGGAAAGUAAGUUAAGUGGAAUUUUAAAUUAAUUGGGGUGAUUUUUAAAGAAUAAUUAUCUUUAAAAUAUUGGAAUAAGUUGAUCCAAAAUUUUUGAUUAAUUGAAAAAAAUACUCUAGGGAUAACAGCGUAAUUAUUUUGGAUAGUUCAUAUAGGUAAAAUAGUUUGCGACCUCGAUGUUGGAUUAAGAUUCUUAUAUAAUGUAGUAGUUAUAUAAAGGAGUUUGCUCAACUUUUAAAUUCUUAACUUGAUCUGAGUUCAGACCGG
rnacentral:rRNA from 1 species